rnacentral:lncRNA from 1 species
CUUCUUUUGCGUCAUCGUAAUUAGGGUUCCGACUUUUUUGGGGAGCAAGGGGUGUCACCAAAUUAUGGGUUCAACGAUGUUGAAUUACUAUUUUGACUGGGUGGAACACCAAAUUUAUCUAUAGAUCACGAAGAUCGUGUUUGUCUAGUCCGGAUAGAGUGGAAGUUUGAAAAACUCUAUCAAAGUCAGAUUCCAAUUUAUGUCAGUAGGGUUCAGAAUACGGUAACUCCUUGAACGGCUUGUUUUCAGUACUCUUUUUGGUCAGUGGACUCGAAGGUUUAGGUGGUAAUGUCAUUCAUGAUUAUUCACACUGGUCGUUCAUGGGAAAUAGCUUCUAGGAUUGCAAUUUGUGCUGUAAGUGGGUGGUUUGUGAGGGAUGUAUACUCAACUUUGAUUAUUGUGAGUUGAGGAGAGUAAAUAUCUGUAAUUUUUCUUAAAUCUGUAAGUGCAUUUAAUAUGUACGUUUGGAAUGAAGAAUGACAAAUAUUAUAUAUGUUAAUGACUGUGAUCAGUACUAUGCUAAAACAGCAAAAUUUGUAGCAAAAUUGGUGUAGUGACAAGCCUGUGCUGCUUAAAGUUAUAACUGAUCACUAAUUUUCCCCUUUAUGAUCAUGCUUCUAUAGAGAACAAGAAACCAGCUGGAUAAACACAUCACUGAAGUUAUCCAACUAUAUUUCCAUUGUAAUAUCUAAACGGGUGCAGAUAAUAGCAAUCAAGACAUAAGUUGUUAAUAGGUCUAAAUAGCAUGGUUUUCUGUACCGCCCGAGUCAGUAUGGUAUGCGCGUUACAUACCGGCCUAACUCGCUACCAAGAUGCGGCUCGCCUAAGUCUUUGUCAGCAUGCCUCGGUGUAACAUGUGUUGGCACAUCGAUACAGACUGAUACUUCCCGUAUUGACAAAUUUCUGAGAUGGGUUUGGAACCCUGCUAAAUAGAACUCUAGUUGUACCCAAGUCAUCACUAACAGAUAAUAACAAGUGAUUGUGAUACAACUCAAUUGAUGUUAGAACUUAGUCAAACGUAAUCCCGUUGGACCUGUUUGCAAUCUUUUCUUUUUCUGCAAAUUGGCUGUAAAUUAGUUCUUAUACUGAUUUGAUUUGAUUUUAUUUUAUUUAAAAAUAUUCAAAAUUUCCAAGUUGUAGUCGUGAGUUGUGACAAGGGAGUGCUAUGAUAAUAAUGUGGAAUAAAAUAAGGAAUUUGAUUGAGGAAAAGGAAAUUAAAGGGAGAGGCGACUUGGAUAAUAACAAAAAUAGAAGAGAGACAAAAUAAGAUUAUAAAGGCUUACUCAAAGUCUCAAACUAUAUAUGUCAAUUCCAUCUCACAUGAAGAAUGAGCAUCUCACAUACGUAAAGAACUACUUACUCUGCUACGAGGUUAUUCCUUCCCCUCUUCCCCACCCCCAACCCACUGAAAAGAAAAUAUUAUUUAGCAUUUUUUGAUCGUCAUACAUUUAACCUAUUUCAUCCAGGCAUCCAUUUGAUCGUUCUAAAUGGGAUUGUGUUUGCCAGUGGUUAAGUAAAGAAGGUUUUUUUGGAGAAGAUACAAUCAGUAGAACCAUUAAAAGCUUCAAAAGAUGACUUACUAGUGGUACGAAGUGCUUCUGUGCUUACUUAAUAUAUAGAUCUACAUCUACUAGUGACUCUUUUUAAUACAUGGGGUUAACAUGUUUUUCAAUCAGGUGCAUUCAGAAUCAUUCUUGAAUUAAAAGUAGUUUAAAUAUUUCCAUUAUUAUUGAGGUGAUGCUUUUCCUCUGUCUUGGAUACAUAUAUCUUUUCUGAGGCAUAAAUAAUUUGAAUUUUUUUUCAAGAUAGUAUUGACUACGGAUGAUGUAUGAGCAGAAAUUAUGCUACUUUCUCACAGGAGUCUGAUAUCUGGUGAUGUAACAUAAUGUCAGUCAUAAAACUAUAAUAAUAUAAUUCUGAGUAGUAAGUCUAAGAAGUUUCAUCAUUUAGGAUGAAUUUUAAAUUUAGUUUAUAGAUCUCUAUUUCUUGUUCCAAUUAUGUACACGCAUCACAUUCAGACACAGGCUUCACACAAAUUACAAUUAACUCCCAUAACAAGCCUUAUAUAAGAGGGAAUCAGAUAUUGAUAAAGUAAAUUAAAAGGAUAUCUUAUGCUCGAGUUUUUGGUCAAGAAGUGAUAAGAUCUUAUAUGUUUCUCAGUUAUGCAUUACUGUUGUGAAUACAUCAGUGGCCUUUCUAUUUUGUACAUAUUUCCAAUGAAAAUAUAAUCAAGCAUGCUGUUUUUAGUAGCUUGGUUUUGUACCAUUAUUUUGUUACUCUCAUUUAAGAAAUUCUUCUUCAUCUUGUUGUUCAGCCUUCAUUUUCGAUCAUGUAACAGCCUAUCUUGUUCAGGCUUCCCAUCAGAUACAUGAGCAAAUACCAUCCAAAAUCCAUAUUUUGAUACAUUAGAUAUCUUCUUCCUUCUUUAACAGUAUCCUUUGCAGCAUAGAAUUUUCCUUGAACUCAUGCUUAUAAUGAAGGUUUAGUAGAGGUGUGAAUUGAGUUAAUGUCUGUAAUCAAAAUUUCAAAUAAUUACUUUGCUUUAUCCUAGGUUCCCCAAGUUGCACUGCUUUCCAACGACCUUGUUCAGAAUAGAGUGCUUUACCCAUAUCGCAAGCAGGUUAGGAUUUACUUGUCUUUUCUCACUGCAUCGACAUAUAUAAGGAAAGAGGUUUUAAAUUUCAAAUUUUCAGGUGAGAGGUUCCAUACUAGCAGCCAAAAUUGCAAUAGAGCGAGGAUGGGCCAUCAAUGUUGGUGGUGGCUUUCAUCAUUGUUCAGCAGAAAAAGGAGGUGGAUUUUGUGUAUAUGCUAUAUUUCACUAUGCAUUCAGUUUGAUUUUGUUCGUUUGAAUAUUACAAGGUAAAAAGCUUGUUUCUCAAAAAGUUUACAUAUUACCUCUUGUAUUCUGGACAUGUACAAUGCUGGAGUUUAUCCUUUUGUGAGUAUUACUAUUCAUGAAAUUCAAUUCGUUUUUAACAUGCGACAGUGGCAUUCUUUAUCAUAAUUUAAUUGCUUGAUCAAGUAUUACUCGGUGUGAUCACCAGCAUUUAUCCUGUCGUUGCAUGAUUGAGACCUAGGACUUUCUUAGGUCUAUGAUUAAUCAUUUAAUAGAUUUGUUUGGAUUCAUAUGCUUGGAUUUUCAGCUCUUCUGUUUGAACAUUUGCCAAGUUAUGAACAACAUGAACCACAAACUUAGCCCAAGCUGGUCUUGGAUUAUACACAACAAUCUAAGACUCGGGAGUUUCUGAAAUGAAUAUUGCCUUGGAAUUCCUUAUCGUUUCUUCCACUGUAAUCCUUUUCUCUGCUUCAAUAUCACCAGUUAGUGCCAUAUCGUGGCACAAGCCCCCUCCAGACCUCACCACACAGAAACAUAAGUAAUGAGACAGCCUUUUGAUUAAUACGGCCUGCAGUAUGGCUCAUGAGAUCAAGCAGUUAUGGCUAUGACUAUUGUGAUGGCUUAGCUAGAAACAUGUUAAUGCUUCUGUCAGUAUCUUCUCUUUAUAGCUGUCUUAUUUGAUUGACAAGACUCUGAGGCUAAAAGAUACAUUGAUCUGAAAGUUGAGUUGGUAGUAAGUCAUGAGUCGUUUCUUGGCUGCUUUUCCU